rnacentral:rRNA from 1 species
CCUACGGGAGGCAGCAGUGGGGAAUAUUGCACAAUGGGGGAAACCCUGAUGCAGCGACGCCGCGUGAGUGAAGAAGUAAUUCGUUAUGUAAAGCUCUAUCAGCAGGGAAGUAAAUGACGGUACCUGAGUAAGAAGCCCCGGCUAACUACGUGCCAGCAGCCGCGGUACUACGUAGGGGGCAAGCGUUAUCCGGAUUUACUGGGUGUAAAGGGAGCGUAGACGGCAGUGCAAGUCUGGAGUGAAAGGCGGGGGCUCAACCCCCGGACUGCUCUGGAAACUGUACGGCUGGAGUGCAGGAGAGGUAAGUGGAAUUCCUAGUGUAGCGGUGAAAUGCGUAGAUAUUAGGAGGAACACCAGUGGCGAAGGCGGCUUACUGGACUGUAACUGACGCUGAGGCUCGAAAGCGUGGGGAGCAAACAGGAUUAGAUACCCCGGUAGUC